UGGGGAAUUUUGGACAAUGGGCGCAAGCCUGAUCCAGCCAUGCCGCGUGCGGGAAGAAGGCCUUCGGGUUGUAAACUGCUUUUGUCAGGGAAGAAAUCUUCUGAGUUAAUACCUCGGGAGGAUGACGGUACCUGAAGAAUAAGCACCGGCUAACUACGUGCCAGCAGCCGCGGUAAUACGUAGGGUGCAAGCGUUAAUCGGAAUUACUGGGCGUAAAGCGUGCGCAGGCGGUUUUGUAAGACAGAGGUGAAAUCCCCGGGCUCAACCUGGGAACUGCCUUUGUGACUGCAAGGCUUGAGUGCGGCAGAGGGGGGAUGGAAUUCCGCGUGUAGCAGUGAAAUGCGUAGAUAUGCGGAGGAACACCGAUGGCGAAGGCAAUCCCCUGGGCCUGCACUGACGCUCAUGCACGAAAGCGUGGGGAGCAAACAGGAUUAGAUAGCCCUGGUAGUCCACGCCCUAAAACGAUGUCAACUGGUUGUUGGGAAGGUUCCUUCUCAGUAACGUAGCUAACGCGUGAAGUUGACCGCCU
rnacentral:rRNA from 1 species